rnacentral:rRNA from 1 species
GUUUGAUCCUGGCUCAGGAUGAACGCUAGCGGCAGGCCUAAUACAUGCAAGUCGAGGGGUAGAGGGAGCUUGCUUCCUUGAGACCGGCGCACGGGUGCGUAACGCGUAUGCAACCUACCUUUAUCUGGGGGAUAGCCCGGAGAAAUCCGGAUUAAUACCGCAUAAAAUCACAGAAUGGCAUUAUUCAAUGAUCAAACAUUAAUGGGAUAGAGAUGGGCAUGCGUGUCAUUAGCUAGUUGGCGGGGUAACGGCCCACCAAGGCGACGAUGACUAGGGGAUCUGAGAGGAUGACCCCCCACACUGGUACUGAGACACGGACCAGACUCCUACGGGAGGCAGCAGUAAGGAAUAUUGGUCAAUGGAGGCAACUCUGAACCAGCCAUGCCGCGUGCAGGAAGACUGCCCUAUGGGUUGUAAACUGCUUUUAUCCGGGAAUAAACCUAAAUACGUGUAUUUAGCUGAAUGUACCGGAAGAAUAAGGAUCGGCCAACUCCGUG